GUAGGGAAUAUUGCACAAUGGGGGAAACCCUGAUGGAGCGACGCCGCGUGGAGGAUAAGGUCUUCGGAUUGUAAACUCCUGUCAUGCGUGAACAAGGUUGCUUGGUUAAUACCUGGGCAAAUUGAUGGUAACGCAAGAGGAAGAGACGGCUAACUCUGUGCCAGCAGCCGCGGUAAUACAGAGGUCUCAAGCGUUGUUCGGAAUCACUGGGCGUAAAGGGUGCGUAGGUGGCGUGGUAAGUCAGAUGUGAAAGCCCGGGGCUCAACCUCGGAACUGCAUCCGAUACUGCCAUGCUAGAGUACUGGAGAGGUGACUAGAAUUCUCGGUGUAGCAGUGAAAUGCGUAGAUAUCGAGAGGAAUACCAAAGGCGUAGGCAGGUCACUGGACAGUUACUGACACUGAGGCACGAAGGCCAGGGGAGCGAACGGGAUUAGAAACCCUUGUAGUCC
rnacentral:rRNA from 1 species